rnacentral:rRNA from 1 species
GACGGUGCAGCAGGCGCGAAAACUUUACAAUGCGGGAAACCGUGAUAAGGGAACUCCGAGUGCCCGUAAAAUCGGGCUGUCCAUCAGUUUAAAUAACUGGUGAAGAAAGGGCCGGGCAAGACCGGUGCCAGCCGCCGCGGUAAUACCGGCGGCUCGAGUGGUGGCCACUAUUACUGGGCUUAAAGCGUUCGUAGCUGGUUUGUUAAGUCUCUGGGGAAAUCUUCCGGCUUAACCGGAAGGCGUCUCAGGGAUACUGGCAGACUAGGGACCGGGAGAGGUGAGGGGUACUCCAGGGGUAGGAGUGAAAUCCUGUAAUCCUUGGGGGACCACCUGUGGCGAAGGCGCCUCACCAGAACGGCUCCGACAGUGAGGGACGAAAGCUGGGGGAGCAAACCGGAUUAGAUACCCGGGUAGUCCCAGCUGUAAACGAUGCGCGUUAGGUGUAUCGGUGACCACGAGUCACCGAGGUGCCGAAGAGAAAUCGUGAAACGUGCCGCCUGGGAAGUACGGUCGCAAGGCUGAAACUUAAAGGAAUUGGCGGGGGAGCAC